AUCCCAUGAUGAGGACACUUACGAAGUAACUCCUCGAAUCGCUCCUAAGCCUCAUACAAAGCCUCGUCGUCUAAUUGUUGGAAAGUUGCAAAAAAUCUCUUUGCUAAUUCU
rfam:Gossypium hirsutum cultivar TM-1 unplaced genomic scaffold scaffold2020.1, whole genome shotgun sequence